UUGAACGCUGGCGGAAUGCUUUACACAUGCAAGUCGAGCGGCAGCGCGGGGGCAACCCUGGCGGCGAGCGGCGAACGGGUGAGUAACAUAUUGGAACGUACCCUAUCGUGGGGGAUAACACAUCGAAAGAUGUGCUAAUACCGCAUACGACCUGAGGGUGAAAGCAGGGGAUCGCAAGACCUUGCGCGACAGGAGCGGCCGAUAUCGGAUUAGCUAGUUGGUGAGGUAAAGGCUCACCAAGGCGACGAUCCGUAGCUGGUCUGAGAGGACGACCAGCCACACUGGAACUGAGACACGGUCCAGACUCCUACGGGAGGCAGCAGUGGGGAAUUUUGGACAAUGGGGGCAACCCUGAUCCAGCCAUUCCGCGUGAGUGAAGAAGGCCUUCGGGUUGUAAAACUCUUUCGGCAGGAACGAAACGGUGAGCUCUAACAUAGCUUGCUAAUGACGGUACCUGAAGAAGAAGCACCGGCUAACUACGU
rnacentral:rRNA from 1 species